rnacentral:piRNA from 1 species
UCAGCAAAGAUGUUCCUUAUUUCAACCGA